rnacentral:rRNA from 1 species
UGGGGAAUUUUGGACAAUGGGCGAAAGCCUGAUCCAGCAAUGCCGCGUGUGAAGAAGGCCUUCGGGUUGUAAAGCACUUUUGUCCGGAAAGAAAUCCUUGGCUCUAAUACAGUCGGGGGAUGACGGUACCGGAAGAAUAAGCACCGGCUAACUACGUGCCAGCAGCCGCGGUAAUACGUAGGGUGCAAGCGUUAAUCGGAAUUACUGGGCGUAAAGCGUGCGCAGGCGGUUUGCUAAGACCGAUGUGAAAUCCCCGGGCUCAACCUGGGAACUGCAUUGGUGACUGGCAGGCUAGAGUAUGGCAGAGGGGGGUAGAAUUCCACGUGUAGCAGUGAAAUGCGUAGAGAUGUGGAGGAAUACCGAUGGCGAAGGCAGCCCCCUGGGCCAAUACUGACGCUCAUGCACGAAAGCGUGGGGAGCAAACAGGAUUAGAUACCCUGGUAGUCCACGCCCUAAACGAUGUCAACUAGUUGUUGGGGAUUCAUUUCCUUAGUAACGUAGCUAACGCGUGAAGUUGACCGCCUGGGGAGUACGGUCGCAAGAUUAAAACUUAAAUGAAUUGACGGGGUCAUAGCUGUUU